GCAAUACGGCAGCGGCAGACGGGAGAGUAACACGUGGGAACGUACCCUUCGGUUCGGAAUAACCCAGGGAAACUUGGGCUAAUACCGGAUACGUCCGUAAGGAGAAAGAUUUAUCGCCGAAGGAUCGGCCCGCGUCCGAUUAGCUAGUUGGUGGGGUAAUGGCCCACCAAGGCGACGAUCGGUAGCUGGUCUGAGAGGAUGAUCAGCCUCACUGGGACUGAGACACGGCCCAGACUCCUACGGGAGGCAGCAGUGGGGAAUAUUGGACAAUGGGCGCAAGCCUGAUCCAGCCAUGCCGCGUGGGUGAUGAAGGCCCUAGGG
rnacentral:rRNA from 1 species